ensembl:lncRNA
GAGAGAGCGAGAGAGACAGGUCAUCACUGGGCCAGGACUUGGAGACAGACAGGCCACCACUGGGCUAGGACUGGGAGAGAGAAACAGGUUAUCACUGGGCCAGGACCGGGAGAGAGAGACAGGUCAUCACUGGGCCAGGACCGGGAGAGAGAGACAGGUCAUCACUGGGCCAGGACCGGGAGAGAGAGACAGGUCAUCACUGGGCCUGGACUGAGAGACAGAGAGAGACUGGUCAUCAAUGGGCCAGGACUGAGAGACAGAGAGAGAGAGAGAGAGAGCGAGAGAGACAGGUCCUCACUGGGCCAGGACCGGGAUAGAGAGACAGGUUAUCACUGGGUCAGUACUGAGAGAUAGAGAGAGACCGGCCAUAACUGGGCCAGGAUUGGGAGAGACAGGUCCUCAGUGGGCCAAGACUGAGAGAGAGACAGGCCAUCACUGGGCCAGGACUGGGAGAGAGAGAGAGAGAGAGACAGGUCCUCACUGGGCCAGGACCAGGAGAGAGAGACAGGUCCUCACUGGGCCAGGACUGAGAGAUAGAGAGAGACAGGUCAUCAAUGGGCCAGGACUGAGAGAUAGAGAGAGACAGGUCAUCAAUGGGCCAGAACUGAGAGAUAGACAGAGACAGGGCAUCAAUGGGCCUGCAAACCAUCCUUAAGUAACCUGGAGAGACGGGCAUUAUCACCCAAUGCCACCUUGAUGGUGAAAUAAAAGAGAUAGAGAGAGCAAGAGAGAAACAGUGAGAGACACACAGCAAGAGAGAAAAAGAGACACAUAGAGAAUCAAGGGAGAAAGAGAGGGACAGAGGGUAAGAGAGACCGUAGUAUACAGAGAAGGGCCACGAGCAGCCAAUGCCAGCUUAUUGGUGAGAAGUAGAGAUAGAAAUAAAGAGAGAGCACAUAACAAGAAUCCCAUGCCAGCUUGUUAUGGGUGAAAAGUAGCACCUGUCCUUUAAGCAGAGAGCAGAGUGACGCCAGCAUUAGCAUGAUAAAACCAUCCCCACUCCCCCUACCCAGAGAAGUGUCAAGAGUUCUCUCAAAACACAUACUAACAACCCAUCUAUCUAUCCAACCUCUCUCUCUCCUUCUCUCUCAUCUCCCCAUACACCCUCUCUAUGUACCCCCCCCCCCCCCCCCGAUAUCUACAGAGGGCAUGGGACCAUUCCCAGGGUGAUUAUCCCAUGCCAGGUGCCCUCUCCUACCCCCUCUCCCUCAAUCCCCCUCACCCUCACUUCCUCAGCCCCCCCC